GACGUAGGGCGCGAGCGUUGUCCGGAUUUAUUGGGCGUAAAGAGCUCGUAGGCGGCUUGUCGCGUCGUCCGUGAAAACCUGUGGCUUAACUACAGGCUUGCGGUCGAUACGGGCAGGCUAGAGUGCGGCAGGGGAGACUGGAAUUCCUGGUGUAGCGGUGAAAUGCGCAGAUAUCAGGAGGAACACCGGUGGCGAAGGCGGGUCUCUGGGCCGCUACUGACGCUGAGGAGCGAAAGCGUGGGGAGCGAACAGG
rnacentral:rRNA from 1 species